AAUGUAUGACACCGUUGACUUUUUGUCCAACGUUUGACCAUUCGUCUUAUUCAAAAAAAAAGUAAUUAUUAUUUAUUUUAUUAUGAAUUGAUUCGUUAUCAAAUGUUCUUUAAGCAUGACAUAAAUAUUUUCAUAUUUGCACAAAAAUUUUAAAUAAAACGAAUGGUCAAACGUUGGUCGAAAAGUCAAUAGCGUCAUACAUU
rnacentral:pre_miRNA from 1 species